rnacentral:rRNA from 1 species
CACGUAGGGCGCGAGCGUUGUCCGGAAUUAUUGGGCGUAAAGAGCUCGUAGGCGGCCUGUUGCGUCCGCUGUGAAAGCCCGGGGCUUAACCCCGGGUCGGCAGUGGAUACGGGCAGGCUAGAGGUAGGUAGGGGAGAAUGGAAUUCCCGGUGUAGCGGUGAAAUGCGCAGAUAUUGGGAAGAACACCAGUGGCGAAGGCGGCUCUCUGGACCGUAACUGACGCUGAGGCGCGAAAGCCAGGGGAGCAAACGGG